rfam:Astyanax mexicanus chromosome 21, whole genome shotgun sequence.
GGUCCCAUGGUGUAAUGGUUGAUCACUCUGGACUCUGAAUCCAGCAAUCCGAGUUCGAAUCUCGGUGGGACCU